rnacentral:rRNA from 1 species
GACGAACGCUGGCGGCGUGCUUAACACAUGCAAGUCGAACGGUAAGGCCCUUCGGGGUACACGAGUGGCGAACGGGUGAGUAACACGUGGGUGAUCUGCCCUGCACUUCGGGAUAAGCCUGGGAAACUGGGUCUAAUACCGGAUAGGACCACUGCCUGCAUGGGUGGUGGUGGAAAGCUUUUGCGGUGUGGGAUGGGCCCGCGGCCUAUCAGCUUGUUGGUGGGGUGAUGGCCUACCAAGGCGACGACGGGUAGCCGGCCUGAGAGGGUGACCGGCCCCGCUGGGAAUGGUAUCCGGCCCAGACUCCUACGGGAGGGAGGAGUGGGGAAUAUUGUCCCAUGGUCGCAAGCCUGAUGCAGCGACGCCGCGUGAGGGAUGACGGCCUUCGGGUUGUAAACCUCUUUCAGCACCGACGAAGCGCAAGUGACGGAAGGUGCAGAAGAAGGACCGGCCAACUACGUGCCAGCCGCCGCGGUAA